ACGGCUCAGUAACACGUAGGUAACCUACCCUUCGGACGGGCACAACCCCGGGAAACUGGGGCUAAUUCCCGAUAGGUACCCCCUUCUGGAAUGUGGGGAUAUCCAAAGCUCCGGCGCCGAAGGAUGGGCCUGCGGCCGAUUAGGUUGUUGGCGGGGUAACAGCCCACCAAGCCGACGAUCGGUACGGGCAGUGAGAGCUGUAGCCCGGAGAUGGGGACUGAGACAAGGCCCCAGGCCCUACGGGGCGCAGCAGGCGCGAAACCUUCACAAUGCACGAAAGUGUGAUGAGGGUACUCCGAGUGCGCAUACAUUGUAUGUGCUUUUCUGCAGCGUAAAUAGUUGCAGGAAUAAGGGCUGGGCAAGACCGGUGCCGGCCGCCGCGGUAACACCAGCAGCCCUAGUGGUGGCCGCUUUUAUUGGGCCUAAAGCGUCCGUAGCCGGACAGGCGGGUCUUUGGGUAAAUCCUACGUCUUAAGCGUGGGAAUUCUAAAGAUACUACCUGUCUUGAGGCCGGGAGAGGCUGGAGGUACUCCUGGGGUAGGGGUAAAAUCCGAUAAUCCUGGGGGGACCACCGAUGGCGAAGGCAUCCAGCUGGAACGGGCCUGACGGUGAGGGACGAAACCCAGGGGAGCGAGCCGGAUUAGAUACCCGGGUAGUCCUGGGCGUAAAUGAUGCGGGCUUGGUGUGAGCGCAUCGACGAGGUGCGCUUGUGCCGUAGGGAAGCCGUUAAGCCCACCGCCUGGGGAGUACGGUCGCAAGGCUGAAACUUAAAGGAAUUGGCGGGGGAG
rnacentral:rRNA from 1 species